AUACAAAACAGUAAACCCAACACAGAAAACAUACCAAUCUGGUAAAUCACUGAUUCUGUAGAUCUGUUUAAGAUUACUAGCAUUGUUCUGAACUUGGGUAGGUAAUUUAGUAGGAGCUACAAUGUCAUCCCUUUUUCAGAGUCAGUUGGAAUAUCUAUGAUUAUGGUAUUAGACUUUUCCAUAAUUGUUACUUAGCUAUACAAACAGAGAAAAACAGAGAAUUUUUUUUUUAUAUAUAUAAUUCAAGAAAAUCAAGCAUUAAUAAUUUAAUAAUUUACUAGAAUAGUUAAAAAAUUAAAAUGGAGAAAAAGGAUAUCUUACCGAUAAUAAAAAUCUGGUAAAUCACUGAUUCUGUAGAUCUGUUUGAUGAUCACCUCUUUAGAUUUCUUCAUUUUCUUUUUCAAUGGAAUAAAAAGGAUAAUUGUAGUAAUUGUUUCUUCUUCCAUUUGUUUCUCUGUAAAUCAGGGAAAGCUCUCUUCAGUCCUCACAGAAACCCUAAAGACAGCCGCGUUGAGAUCAUUUUCAGCUUAAAUAUCAAAGUUAUGGGCCUGACUAACUAAUAUUACCC
rnacentral:lncRNA from 1 species